CCCCUGACAAAAAAAAUGUACGAUUGCAAAGUCUUGUUGCCAUGGUUACCAAAAUAUGCCACGCCCAAUGGUGAAAUUGACCCCAUUUUGUAAACAUGAUUACUACAUAACCAUUGAUGAUAAAAUGAUGAAAUAACUUUUAUUUACUCAAACACAACAAGGUCUAGGAGGUGAACUAAAACAUUUGGGAUUGAAGCAUUUUUAACAGUUCUACGGAUGAAAUAAUGGAAAAGCAUGCGGCUGUUUCCCAGAAAGUAGACACUGCUCUAAAACUAUUGAACAGAAUUUAUUUCUUUUAGUUCAACUCCUAGAGAUGGUUAUGCUGAGUCUACCCUGAAAAUUUGAUCAAGAUAGCUUCAAUACUUCUUGAGAUAUCCUGCAUACAAUAUCGGAAAUUGCUGAUUUUCGGCAUUUUGAGAAAAAUGCAUUUAAAGUCUAAUAUUUAGUUUAUCAUCAACACAAUCGGGUCUAAAUUGUCAUAUGGCCUUACGAUUUUAUUAUUUACAAUGCCAGAAAGCUCCUGCUUCAUAUAUGGUGCCCUCUGUUUCCUUGUUCUUAUCAUCCUUCUUUUUUUUCUGGCCACGGAGGAUUUUUCUUCUUUUCCUUAUUGCAGGAGUGUUCUCAUGUUCCGCCUUCUUUACUCGUUGCUUGUCGGCUUUAAGCAUGUUUUGUUCAAAAUAAUGUCCUGGUACCAAUCCUAGCUGACUAAGAAAUGUUCACUGCUGCUUUGUUACCAAUAUUAAAAUGAGCCACUGCAUCAUAUGCUCCAAAAUUCAGGACCUCGGCUCCAACAAAAACUGUUUUCGGCAACCAGUUCCAGAUCAUCCCGUUCAAGGACUCGUUUUGGUUCUGUGUUUUGCCAUCCAAACACUUUGUCAAGAGAUCAUUGCUAAGCCUGAUAUAAAUAGGCCUAAUCAAGGCAAUAAUGUUGUCAGGAAGACCAGGUCCUGUUUUAUACAGAUGCGUAUUAUUGGCCACAUCUUAUUUGUAUCGACACCAGCUCUCAGGACCAUCUGGACAAUGGGUGUGCAGGUUCCGUCGCUUGGAAGAAACACAAUGAAACAAGCUGGCAAGUAUUGAGGAUUUCAUGGCAGCUAAAUCUCCAGAAUUACUUCUUAUGGCAUAAACAAAUCUUUUGUUGAAGUCAAAAGAAUUCUGGACUUUCUUGGAGGUGUGAAAGGUAUAAACCCAUCCACAUGUUUCACAACGUACUCAAAGAUGGGAAGCACUACCUUUUUGUUCACAUGGGUUGUCUUCUAUUAAACACAAAACAAGCUGAAGAACCAUUCUUUACACAUCACUUGCUGAAAUACAUCGCUCAGCAGCUCCAUAUCAACAAAGCGGUACCCUGUUACCGUAGAUUUGACUGGGAAAUAUUCAUCUUGAGUAUUCUGAUUGCCAAUUUUGCAAUUCAAAAGUAUUUUGACAUGACUCAGUCGAUUGCCCAGAAGAAACACGCUUUCUUCGCAGGAUUGUUAAACCUGUUGCCCUGAAAUUUCCGUUUCCUUGUUCUUGAACCUUGUCUUGGCAUUGUGAAUAUACAAUAUCAAGCUCAAUACGGAUAACAACAAAGCUUGAACACAAUAUAAUCGCUACGAUGUUUGAGAAUUCUGACACAACAAAGUUGGAAAGCACACAAAUGUUAAAACAGCGCCCCCAUGUCUUUAAAGAAGCUUUCAGC
rnacentral:lncRNA from 1 species